rnacentral:pre_miRNA from 1 species
AUCACCUGGGAAUUUGUUAAAAUGCAAGUUCUGAUUCAGCAGGUCUGAGGUGGUAUCUAAGAUCCUGCAUUUCUAACAAGCUCCUAGGUGAUGCUGU